CCUACGGUGGGCUGCAGUGGGGAAUAUUGGACAAUGGGCGAAAGCCUGAUCCAGCCAUGCCGCGUGUGUGAAGAAGGCCUUCGGGUUGUAAAGCACUUUCAGUGGGGAAGAAAGCCUUGGGGCUAAUACCCUCGAGGAAGGACAUCACCCACAGAAGAAGCACCGGCUAACUCCGUGCCAGCAGCCGCGGUAAUACGGAGGGUGCGAGCGUUAAUCGGAAUUACUGGGCGUAAAGCGCGCGUAGGCGGUCUGAUAAGCCGGUUGUGAAAGCCCCGGGCUCAACCUGGGAACGGCAUCCGGAACUGUCAGGCUAGAGUGCAGGAGAGGAAGGUAGAAUUCCCGGUGUAGCGGUGAAAUGCGUAGAGAUCGGGAGGAAUACCAGUGGCGAAGGCGGCCUUCUGGACUGACACUGACGCUGAGGUGCGAAAGCGUGGGUAGCAAACAGGAUUAGAUACCGAGUAGUC
rnacentral:rRNA from 1 species